UAGGGANUCUUCCACAAUGGGCGCAAGCCUGAUGGAGCAACACCGCGUGAGUGAAGAAGGGUUUCGGCUCGUAAAGCUCUGUUGUUAAAGAAGAACACGUAUGAGGGUAACUGUUCAUACGUUGACGGUAUUUAACCAGAAAGUCACGGCUAACUACGUGCCAGCAGCCGCGGUAAUACGUAGGUCCCGAGCGUUGUCCGGAUUUAUUGGGCGUAAAGCGAGCGCAGGCGGUUAGAAAAGUCUGAAGUGAAAGGCAGUGGCUCAACCAUUGUAGGCUUUGGAAACUGUUUAACUUGAGUGCAGAAGGGGAGAGUGGAAUUCCAUGUGUAGCGGUGAAAUGCGUAGAUAUAUGGAGGAACACCGGUGGCGAAAGCGGCUCUCUGGUCUGUCACUGACGCUGAGGCUCGAAAGCGUGGGGAGCGAACAGGAUUAGAUACCCUGGUAGUCCACGCCGUAAACGAUGAGUGCUAGGUGUUGGGUCCUUUCCGGGGCUCAGUGCCGCAGCUAACGCAUUAAGCACUCCGCCUGGGGAGUACGACCGCAAGGUUG
rnacentral:rRNA from 1 species